GAGGAAUGCCGCUAGGGAAGUAUUACUGCGACUAUUACGAUAAGCAAUUUCAAGACACUCCUGCUGCUCGAAAACGCCACUUGCAGGGCCUCCAGCACCUCCGUGCCAAAGCUCAAUGGUUCCACUCCUAAAACGCCCAAGAUCUUUAAAGCCCCCACCUGAGGAUGGAUAUCCACCUCUUCCUUUUGUGGAUUGGGGAUAAAAUCUCUCUCUCUCCCCCUUGCUCUGUUUCUAGACACCAAUUUCCUCAUUUAGUUUCUUCAUUUGUUAAAGCUGUAUCUUCUUGUUUAUAUUAUUAUUACAUGUUAGAUCACCCACUUUCAUUUCCCAAUUCUUUCUCCUUUUACAUUUCUUGUCAUCGUGAGUAUGUCAAUACCUUGAUAAUGGGAAUUCGUUAUAUUACACAACACAAUUGUCUAACAAAUCUAAAAGGUGAAGUGUUAUGGUUCAAUUGAUCCUUGGUUCAGUUUAGUUUGUGCAUUAUAGGAACAAAUGGUAAGAAUGCAAGUGAGAGUAUGAAUGUUGUAUGAUUAGGUGGCGGAAUUUGAGUAGACGCUUCCAAAGUCUAUCCGGAAGCUUCAGAGCUUACUGACAGUUAGAGAUUAUUUGAUGUUUCAAAGCUUCAAGUGCCUGUCUGAUCAACCUCAUCUUCGUAGAGGAAAUUCAACCUGGUUUACACUCAACAUGCUUAUAUGAGACCUCUUGGAGUUGGAAAAUGGAAACCUUCUAGUCAAAAAGCAACAGAUAAGUUGGAGUGUGUUUCAAAUACUUCAAAUGUCAAAUUCUUUAGGAUUGAUCUACAGAAUAGUUUUCAGGUGAGACACCGUUUAAAGAAAGAUCAUGGGAUCAUGGGAUUAAGGGUGGAAUUCCUGUUGUUUUCUCUUUAGAGAAACCUAAAGCUAAGCUGCUUCCUUUUAGAGGACCAAGUGGUGAGGAAGACAACCCUUCAGAUUAUCAAGUGAAGAUGCUUGCUUCUUACUUUUGCAGUUUUAAAGUACUCUAUUUGAUCACCUAACAUCAUGCAGCGGGGAAAUUCAUCCAAUAUAUUGAAGCAGAAUUUAAGAAUUGAAAGUACAUUUGGAUGGAGCUAAAGCUGUGUUUCUUUUAGCGAUAUAUUUGAAUUUGCUAGUGUUAGGUCCCUGGUUUUUGCUAUCUCUAGAUUUAAGGGUAGGAGGAAAAGGAAAAUAUUUUGGUCUACAUUAGUAUGUAUCUACAUGUUUAAUACAACAAUUUAAUGUGU